rnacentral:rRNA from 1 species
UACGUAGGGAGCGAGCGUUGUCCGAAGUUACUGGGCGUAAAGCGCGCGUAGGCGGGCCAUUAAGUGAGAGGUGAAAUUCCAGGGCUCAACCCCGGAACUGCCUCUCAUACUGUUGGUCUUGAGUGAGGUAGAGAGAAGUGGAAUGGCUGGUGUAGCGGUGAAAUGCGUAGAUAUCAGUCGGAACACCGGUGGCGAAGGCGGCUCUCUGGGACGGUACUGACGCUGAGACGCGAAAGCGUGGGGAGCGAACAGG